GAAUACACGACCGUACCGCAAACCGACACUGGUGCGCGAGAUGAGUAUUCUAAGGCGCUUGAGAGAACUCAGGAGAAGGAACUCGGCAAAUUGACACCGUAACUUCGGAAGAAGGUGUGCCUUUAGUAGGUGAGCCUGUACAAGGGGAGCCCAAUGAGGUUGCAAAAAAUCGGUGGCUGCGACUGUUUAAUAAAAACACAGCACUCUGCAAACACGAAAGUGGACGUAUAGGGUGUGACGCCUGCCCGGUGCUGGAAGAUUAAAUGAUGGGGUGCAAGCUCUUGAUUGAAGUCCCAGUAAACGGCGGCCGUAACUAUAACGGUCCUAAGGUAGCGAAAUUCCUUGUCGGGUAAGUUCCGACCUGCACGAAUGGCGUAACGAUGGCCACACUGUCUCCUCCUGGGACUCAGCGAAGUUGAAAUGUUUGUGAUGAUGCAAUCUCCCCGCGGAAAGACGGAAAGACCCCAUGAACCUUUACUGUAGCUUUGUAUUGGACUUUGAACAGAUCUGUGUAGGAUAGGUGGGAGGCUUUGAAGUGUGGUCGCUAGAUCGCAUGGAGCCAACGUUGAAAUACCAACCUGGUGUGUUUGAGGUUCUAACCUAGGCCCGUAAUCCGGGUCGGGGACAGUGCAUGGUAGGCAGUUUGACUGGGGCGGUCUCCUCCCAAAGCGUAACGGAGGAGUUCGAAGGUACGCUAGGUACGGUCGGACAUCGUGCUAAUAGUGCAAUGGCAUAAGCGUGCUUAACUGCGAGACUGACAAGUCGAGCAGAUGCGAAAGCAGGACAUAGUGAUCCGGUGGUUCUGUAUGGAAGGGCCAUCGCUCAACGGAUAAAAGGUACUCUGGGGAUAACAGGCUGAUACCGCCCAUGAGUUCAUAUCGACGGCGGUGUUUGGCACCUCGAUGUCGGCUCAUCUCAUCCUGGGGCUGUAGCCGGUCCCAAGGGUAUGGCUGUUCGCCAUUUAAAGAGGUACGUGAGCUGGGUUUAAAACGUCGUGAGACAGUUUGGUCCCUAUCUUCCGUGGGCGCUGCAGAUUUGAGGAAGCCUGCUCCUAGUACGAGAGGACCGGAGUGGACACACCUCUGGUGUAUCGGUUGUCACGCCAGUGGCAUUGCCGAGUAGCUAUGUGUGGAAGAGAUAACCGCUGAAAGCAUCUAAGCGGGAAACUCGUUUCAAGAUGAGAUCUGCCGGGGCCUUGAGCCCCCUAAAGAGUCGUUCAAGACCAGGACGUUGAUAGGUCGGGUGUGGAAGCGCAGUAAUGCGUUAAGCUAACCGAUACUAAUUGCUCGUGCGGCUUGACCCU
rnacentral:rRNA from 1 species